GGCCUCUCUCUGUGGGGCAAUUGAUCGUGAGGCUCCGUGAUGGAUUGCCACGCAGAGGGAGGCC
rnacentral:pre_miRNA from 1 species